rnacentral:rRNA from 1 species
UACGAAGGGGGCUAGCGUUGCUCGGAAUCACUGGGCGUAAAGCGCACGUAGGCGGGUCUUUAAGUCAGGGGUGAAAUCCUGGAGCUCAACUCCAGAACUGCCUUCGAUACUGAGAGUCUUGAGUCCGGGAGAGGUGAGUGGAACUGCGAGUGUAGAGGUGAAAUUCGUAGAUAUUCGCAAGAACACCAGUGGCGAAGGCGGCUCACUGGCCCGGUACUGACGCUGAGGUGCGAAAGCGUGGGGAGCAAACAGG